GAUGAACGCUAGCUACAGGCUUAACACAUGCAAGUCGAGGGGAAACGACAUCGAAAGCUUGCUUUUGAUGGGCGUCGACCGGCGCACGGGUGAGUAACGCGUAUCCAACCUGCCCACCACUUGGGGACAACCUUGCGAAAGUAAGACUAAUACCCAAUGACGUCUCUAGAAGACAUCUGAAAGAGAUUAAAGAUUUAUCGGUGAUGGAUGGGGAUGCGUCUGAUUAGCUUGUUGGCGGGGUAACGGCCCACCAAGGCGACGAUCAGUAGGGGUUCUGAGAGGAAGGUCCCCCACAUUGGAACUGAGGCACGGUCCAAACUCCUACGGGAGGCAGCAGUGAGGAAUAUUGGUCGAUGGACGAGAGUCUGAACCAGCCAAGUAGGGUGCAGGAUAACGGCCCUAUGGGUUGUAAACUGCUUUUAUAAGGGAAUAAAGUGAGUCUCGUGAGACUUUUUGCAUGUACCUUAUGAAUAAGGACCGGCUAAUUCCGUG
rnacentral:rRNA from 1 species